rnacentral:snRNA from 1 species
AUCGAUUCUUGGCCUUUUGGCAACGAUCAAGUGUAGUAUCUGUUCUUAUCAGUUUCAUAUCUAAUAUGUCUCCUAUUGUUGAGGCCUCAGCAGCCAGUCUGAGACUUUGACCAAAUCCCCUGCCCCUGAAAGCAAGAGCUGGCCCUGUUUACAGGGGCCCAGGGGCUUGCUCCAGCACU